AGGAGCUUGCUCCUCUGAUUUAGCGGCGGACGGGUGAGUAACACGUGGGUAAUCUGCCUGUAAGACGGGGAUAACUCCGGGAAACCGGGGCUAAUACCGGAUAAUAAGAGAAGAAGCAUUUCUUCUUUUUGAAAGUCGGUUUCGGCUGACACUUACAGAUGAGCCCGCGGCGCAUUAGCUAGUUGGUGAGGUAACGGCUCACCAAGGCGACGAUGCGUAGCCGACCUGAGAGGGUGAUCGGCCACACUGGGACUGAGACACGGCCCAGACUCCUACGGGAGGCAGCAGUAGGGAAUCUUCGGCAAUGGGCGAAAGCCUGACCGAGCAACGCCGCGUGAGCGAUGAAGGCCUUCGGGUCGUAAAGCUCUGUUGUUAGAGAAGAACAAGUACGAGAGUAACUGCUCGUACCUUGACGGUACCUAACCAGAAAGCCACGGCUAACUACGUGCCAGCAGCCGCGGUAAUACGUAGGUGGCAAGCGUUAUCCGGAAUUAUUGGGCGUAAAGCGCGCGCAGGCGGUCUCUUAAGUCUGAUGUGAAAGCCCACGGCUCAACCGUGGAGGGUCAUUGGAAACUGGGAGACUUGAGUGCAGGAGAGAAAAGUGGAAUUCCACGUGUAGC
rnacentral:rRNA from 1 species